AUUGAACGCUGGCGGCAUGCUUUACACAUGCAAGUCGAACGGCAGCACGGGGGCAACCCUGGUGGCGAGUGGCGAACGGGUGGGUAAUAUAUCGGAACGUACCCGGAAAUGGGGGAUAACGUAGCGAAAGUUACGCUAAUACCGCAUAUGCCCUAAGGGGGAAAGCGGGGGAUUCGCAAGAACCUCGCGUUUUCGGAGCGGCCGAUAUCGGAUUAGCUAGUAGGUGAGGUAAAGGCUCACCUAGGCGACGAUCCGUAGCUGGUCUGAGAGGACGACCAGCCACACUGGAACUGAGACACGGUCCAGACUCCUACGGGAGGCAGCAGUGGGGAAUAUUGGACAAUGGGCGAAAGCCUGAUCCAGCCAUGCCGCGUGAGUGAUGAAGGCCCUAGGGUUGUAAAGCUCUUUCUAACGGUGAAGAUAAUGACGGUAACCGUAGAAGAAGCCCCCGGCUAAACCUUCGUGCCAGCAG
rnacentral:rRNA from 1 species